UAUGUAGGGUGCAAGCGUUAAUCGGAAUUACUGGGCGUAAAGCGUGCGCAGGCGGUUUUGUAAGUCAGAUGUGAAAUCCCCGGGCUUAACCUGGGAACUGCGUUUGAAACUACAAGGCUAGAGUGUGGCAGAGGGGGGUGGAAUUCCACGUGUAGCAGUGAAAUGCGUAGAGAUGUGGAGGAACACCGAUGGCGAAGGCAGCCCCCUGGGUUAACACUGACGCUCAGGCACGAAAGCGUGGGGAGCAAACAGG
rnacentral:rRNA from 1 species